AGGUAAGCUACUAAGAGCGAAUGGUGGAUGCCUUGACUGGUAAAGGCGAUGAAGGACGUACUAGACUGCGAUAAGCUACGGGGAGCUGUCAAGAAGCUUUGAUCCGUAGAUUUCCGAAUGGGGCAACCCAAUGUAUAGAGAUAUACAUUACCUAUAUAGGAGCGAACGAGGGGAAUUGAAACAUCUUAGUACCCUCAGGAAAAGAAAUCAAUAGAGAUUGCGUCAGUAGCGGCGAGCGAAAGCGCAAGAGGGCAAACCCAGUGCUUGCACUGGGGGUUGUAGGACUGCAAUGUGCAAGAGGUAAGUUUAGCAGAACAUUCUGGAAAGUAUAACCAUAGAGGGUGAUAGUCCCGUAUGCGAAAAACAAACCUUAGCUAGCAGUAUCCUGAGUAGGGCGGGACACGAGGAAUCCUGUCUGAAUCCGGGUCGACCACGAUCCAACCCUAAAUACUAAUACCAGAUCGAUAGUGCACAAGUACCGUGAGGGAAAGGUGAAAAGAACUGAGGUGAUCAGAGUGAAAUAGAACCUGAAACCAUUUGCUUACAAUCAUUCAGAGCCCUAUGUAGCAAUACAGGGUGAUGGACUGCCUUUUGCAUAAUGAGCCUGCGAGUUGUGGUGUCUGGCAAGGUUAAGCAAACGCGAAGCCGUAGCGAAAGCGAGUCUGAAUAGGGCGCUUAGUCAGAUGCUGCAGACCCGAAACGAAGUGAUCUAUCCAUGAGCAAGUUGAAGCUAGUGUAAGAACUAGUGGAGGACUGAACCCAUAGGCGUUGAAAAGCCCCGGGAUGACUUGUGGAUAGGGGUGAAAGGCCAAUCAAACUUCGUGAUAGCUGGUUCUCUCCGAAAUAUAUUUAGGUAUAGCGUUGUGUCGUAAUAUAAGGGGGUAGAGCACUGAAUGGGCUAGGGCAUACACCAAUGUACCAAACCCUAUCAAACUCCGAAUACCUUAUAUGUAAUCACAGCAGUCAGGCGGCGAGUGAUAAAAUCCGUCGUCAAGAGGGAAACAACCCAGACUACCAGCUAAGGUCCCUAAAUCUUACUUAAGUGGAAAACGAUGUGAAGUUACUUAAACAACCAGGAGGUUGGCUUAGAAGCAGCCAUCCUUUAAAGAAAGCGUAAUAGCUCACUGGUCUAGUGAUUUUGCGCGGAAAAUAUAACGGGGCUAAAGUAAGUACCGAAGCUGUAGACUUAGUUUACUAAGUGGUAGGAGAGCGUUCUAUUUGCGUCGAAGGUAUACCGGUAAGGAGUGCUGGAGCGAAUAGAAGUGAGCAUGCAGGCAUGAGUAGCGAUAAUUAAUGUGAGAAUCAUUAACGCCGUAAACCCAAGGUUUCCUACGCGAUGCUCGUCAUCGUAGGGUUAGUCGGGUCCUAAGUCGAGUCCGAAAGGGGUAGACGAUGGCAAAUUGGUUAAUAUUCCAAUACCAACAUUAGUGUGCGAUGGAAGGACGCUUAGGGCUAAGGGGGCUAGCGGAUGGAAGUGCUAGUCUAAGGUCGUAGGAGGUUAUACAGGCAAAUCCGUAUAACAAUACUCCGAGAACUGAAAGGCUUUUUGAAGUCUUCGGAUGGAUAGAAGAACCCCUGAUGCCGUCGAGCCAAGAAAAGUUUCUAAGUUUAGCUAAUGUUGCCCGUACCGUAAACCGACACAGGUGGGUGGGAUGAGUAUUCUAAGGCGCGUGGAAGAACUCUCUUUAAGGAACUCUGCAAAAUAGCACCGUAUCUUCGGUAUAAGGUGUGGUUAGCUUUGUAUUAGGAUUUACUCCGAAAGCAAGGAAACUUACAACAAAGAGUCCCUCCCGACUGUUUACCAAAAACACAGCACUCUGCUAACUCGUAAGAGGAUGUAUAGGGUGUGACGCCUGCCCGGUGCUCGAAGGUUAAUUGAUGGGGUUAGCAUUAGCGAAGCUCUUGAUCGAAGCCCGAGUAAACGGCGGCCGUAACUAUAACGGUCCUAAGGUAGCGAAAUUCCUUGUCGGUUAAAUACCGACCUGCAUGAAUGGCGUAACGAGAUGGGAGCUGUCUCAAAGAGGGAUCCAGUGAAAUUGUAGUGGAGGUGAAAAUUCCUCCUACCCGCGGCAAGACGGAAAGACCCCGUGGACCUUUACUACAGCUUGACACUGCUACUUGGAUAAGAAUGUGCAGGAUAGGUGGGAGGCUUUGAGUAUAUGACGCCAGUUGUAUAUGAGCCAUUGUUGAGAUACCACUCUUUCUUAUUUGGGUAGCUAACCAGCUUGAGUUAUCCUCAAGUGGGACAAUGUCUGGUGGGUAGUUUGACUGGGGCGGUCGCCUCCCAAAUAAUAACGGAGGCUUACAAAGGUUGGCUCAGAACGGUUGGAAAUCGUUCGUAGAGUAUAAAGGUAUAAGCCAGCUUAACUGCAAGACAUACAAGUCAAGCAGAGACGAAAGUCGGUCUUAGUGAUCCGGUGGUUCUGUGUGGAAGGGCCAUCGCUCAAAGGAUAAAAGGUACCCCGGGGAUAACAGGCUGAUCUCCCCAAGAGCUCACAUCGACGGGGAGGUUUGGCACCUCGAUGUCGGCUCAUCGCAUCCUGGGGCUGGAGCAGGUCCCAAGGGUAUGGCUGUUCGCCAUUUAAAGCGGUACGCGAGCUGGGUUCAGAACGUCGUGAGACAGUUCGGUCCCUAUCUGCCGUGGGCGUAAGAAGAUUGAAGAGAUUUGACCCUAGUACGAGAGGACCGGGUUGAACAAACCACUGGUGUAGCUGUUGUUCUGCCAAGAGCAUCGCAGCGUAGCUAAGUUUGGAAAGGAUAAACGCUGAAAGCAUCUAAGCGUGAAGCCAACUCUAAGAUGAAUCUUCUCUAAGCUCUCUAGAAGACUACUAGUUUGAUAGGCUGGGUGUGUAAUGGAUGAAAGUCCUUUAGCUGACCAGUACUAAUAGAGCGUUUGGCUUAUCUUU
rnacentral:rRNA from 1 species